rnacentral:rRNA from 1 species
AUGGUCGUCUACGGAUUUCAGCGAAGAAACAAGCUAACAAUGAUGGAUAUACCCUACAUUUUCAUUCCAGAAGAUUGGCCAUUCACUUUCUACGAGGGUCCCAAUUGGCAUGCAGAUUCCAUCUUCAGGGAUAUGACAGUAGCAGAGCUAGGAUGUGGCAAUGGUUGGAUAUCAAUUUCACUUGCAGAAAAGAGGCGCCCUUGGAAGGUUGACACCUCUUGUUCUGUAGAUAUUUAUCUUAUCUCAUUUGUUGGAAACAUGGGAUCUGUACAAGUUAGACAUUUACUCUGGUUACUUGAUAUGAAACUUUUAGCUGUCUGCGUGCUGGGCUGGGACAGAGGUGCUCCUUAUCCACGGUCCAGCACAGGGAGAGUAGUCCUUCAUCCAUGCGGUUCUGCUAGAGGGACGGCGCAGCCUCGCGAUUCAGCCAAUACGACAUGGCUAGCUGCUCCACCUCACGGCCAACCUGGAGCAGCAGUGCCCAAAUAG